rnacentral:rRNA from 1 species
GUGAGGAAUAUUGGACAAUGGGCGCAAGCCUGAUCCAGCCAUGCCGCGUGCAGGAAGACGCAUCUAUGGUGUGUAAACUGCUUUUGUACGGGAAGAAACACUCCCUCGUGAGGGAGCUUGACGGUACCGUAAGAAUAAGGAUCGGCUAACUCCGUGCCAGCAGCCGCGGUAAUACGGAGGAUCCAAGCGUUAUCCGGAAUCAUUGGGUUUAAAGGGUCCGUAGGCGGUUUAAUAAGUCAGUGGUGAAAGCCCAUCGCUCAACGAUGGAACGGCCAUUGAUACUGUUAGACUUGAAUUACAAGGAAGUAACUAGAAUAUGUAGUGUAGCGGUGAAAUGCUUAGAUAUUACAUGGAAUACCAAUUGCGAAGGCAGGUUACUUCUUGUGGAUUGACGCUGAUGGACGAAAGCGUGGGGAGCGAACAGGAUUAGAUACCCUAGUAGUCC